rnacentral:lncRNA from 1 species
GAUGAAACCAGCUCCUAUGGAAUGAAACCGCCGCUAACAAGGAUUGAACGGGGACACCUAAGUCUGACUUACUUACAUCUAAAUCGAACUUUCCUUGCUUUCGUUCUUACUUUCAUGCAUCUUAUUCUGAAAUUGAUUACUUGAGCUCUGUAACUAAUGUCUGGUACCCUUCCUUCUGAGAUUGAGCCUACCUCUCUUAGUAGUAGUUGAAGUAUGAUCCCUAUACUAAUAAGCUCUUAUACGUAGUUGAAGUAUGAUCCCUAUACUAAUAAGAAGAAAAACACAGAAUUGGGAAUUUCUCCACUAAGUGGAAGAUCGAAGCACUGCACUAUAGAAUUGAACUGUGCCCCACAAAUCCUGACUUCGCUAACUAGCAAUUGAACCACUGCCUGACAAGCAAGAAGAAAACUAGGCGCUAACGGGACGAAACCGCGACAUAUAGAAUUGCACCUAGCUGCCCGAGCCUUACUUACUACCAGGAAGCUCAUAACUCAUAGUAUACCUUGUCAUUUUGCUAUUAAUUACUAUUAUUCUAUUACUUAUACUCUAUUACCUAGUAGUUUGUCUGUAUUACUUAGUUGUGUGUCUGCUUGUUAGUGACUUGGCGACUGAACAUUCGCACAACCAUAGAAAAUGAAAUGAGAAAAAUAACCACUGUUUUUGAGAAAAAGUAGAGCUGGGUUUUGCUCUAAUUACUAGAAGAAACCCAGUGGAAUUACUAUAAGCAAACUCAUAGCAAAUAUGAUAUGAAAAACCUAUUGCCUAUAGUAUGAGAAUGAAUUAGAACAAUAAGAAUAAGAGGUAUGUUAUGUCGAACAAUAAGAAUAAGAGAUAUAGUUCUUGAAGGUAAGUUUCGAGGUAUAGCUCUGGAAGGUCAGUUUCAAGUAAGUAUAAUAAACAAAGAAUAGAGAUGUGACUUAACGAAUAGGUAUGUUACGCCACCGACAUAUAAAUCAAAAAGGAAUAACCAUUGUACUUUUGAGACCACGGUUCCCUAAGAAAAUACAGUCAAAUAAUAAUCAAUCCUAUAUAAGUGAACUGUAAUAAUCAAUCCUAUAUAAGUGAACUGAAUGUAUGCUACUAAUUACCUCAAUGCCUUAUGCUCGAGAUCUGGGCUGACACCCGGAACCACCCACUCCUUAUUUCACCUAUGAGCUUGCCUUGUUCUUAUAUGAGAAUUGGGUCAAGUCGGACUAAAAGCAUGGAGUUGAAGAACCCGAGUUGUAAGUUGAAGAGCGAAAGAAGGGAUAUUGUUUUCAGGUAAGGCGGGGCUUGGACUUACCACAGUGAAAUUCUGAUAAGUAUAUUCAUAUUCUUUAUUAGAUGCAGUUUUCUUAGAAGCUGUAGUGAGAGUAUGAUAUCGAAUACUCCAUGCCUUACGCUUACCCUUACGUAGUUGCUUGUCUAUACGCUGCUUGUAGAGUUUCAGUCUCCUCCCUGACUUCGUCAGUUCACUCUUUUAC